GGUCCAGACUUUGAUUAUGGCUCAGGAUGAACGCUAGCUACAGGCUUAACACAUGCAAGUCGAGGGGAAACGACAUCGAAAGCUUGCUUCUGAUGGGCGUCGACCGGCGCACGGGUGAGUAACGCGUAUCCAACCUGCCCACCACUUGGGGAUAACCUUGCGAAAGUAAGACUAAUACCCAAUGACGUCUCUAGAAGACAUCUGAAAGAGAUUAAAGAUUUAUCGGUGAUGGAUGGGGAUGCGUCUGAUUAGCUUGUUGGCGGGGUAACGGCCCACCAAGGCGACGAUCAGUAGGGGUUCUGAGAGGAAGGUCCCCCACAUUGGAACUGAGACACGGUCCAAACUCCUACGGGAGGCAGCAGUGAGGAAUAUUGGUCAAUGGGCGAGAGCCUGAACCAGCCAAGUAGCGUGCAGGAUGACGGCCCUAUGGGUUGUAAACUGCUUUUAUAAGGGAAUAAAGUGAGUCUCGUGAGACUUUUUGCAUGUACCUUAUGAAUAAGGACCGGCUAAUUCCGUGCCAGCAGCCGCGGUAAUACGGAAGGUCCGGGCGUUAUCCGGAUUUAUUGGGUUUAAAGGGAGCGUAGGCCGGAGAUUAAGCGUGUUGUGAAAUGUAGACGCUCAACGUCUGCACUGCAGCGCGAACUGGUUUCCUUGAGUACGCACAAAGUGGGCGGAAUUCGUGGUGUAGCGGUGAAAUGCUUAGAUAUCACGAAGAACUCCGAUUGCGAAGGCAGCUCACUGGAGCGCAACUGACGCUGAAGCUCGAAAGUGCGGGUAUCGAACAGGAUUAGAUACCCUGGUAGUCCGCACGGUAAACGAUGGAUGCCCGCUGUUGGUCUGAAUAGGUCAGCGGCCAAGCGAAAGCAUUAAGCAUCCCACCUGGGGAGUACGCCGGCAACGGUGCAACUCAAAUGAAUUGACGG
rnacentral:rRNA from 1 species